GACGAACGCUGGCGGCGUGCUUAACACAUGCAAGUCGAACGGAAAGGCCUCUUUCGGUUGGUACUCGAGUUGCGAACUGGUGAGUAACACGUGAGUAACCUGCCCUUUACUUUUUGAUAACUUCAGGCAACUGGGGCUAAUACCUGAUAGGACCUCCUGCUUCCUGGUGGGGGUUGGAAAUUUUCGGCGGUUGGGGAUUUACUCGCGGCUUAUAAGCUUUUUGGUGUGGUAGUGGGUUACCAAGGCUUUGACGGGUAGCCGGACAGAGGGUGUGACCGACGAAAUUGGGGCUGAGAGAAGGCAGAGACGGGUAAGGGAGGAAGAAGUGGGGAAUAUUGAACAAUGGGUGGAAGGGUGAUGCAGAAAAGCGGUGUGCGGGAAGACGGCCUUGGGGUUGUAAAAAGGUAGCAGUCAAGAAGAAGGUUUGUGUGACGGUAGUGGGAAAAGAAGCACCGGCUAACUACGUG
rnacentral:rRNA from 1 species